rnacentral:sRNA from 1 species
GUUCGUUAUACGUCAAAAAAUCAAACAAGAGCAAAAUUUGUUCAACUUGCUGCGAAAUGAGAACAAAACCUAUGAUUUUAACAUUGCUAUUCAGUGCUUUGCUGCUGCACUUAGAGGCAGUCGAAAAGGGCGUAACUGGAAACCAUUUAGAUAUCAGUCGUAUUGUUAAAGUUCUCAGAAUUCCAGAGUCAAAUGAGUACCACAUAAAUAAUAUGCACAACAUGAGAAAAACAAAUGAAGCCAAGACUUUCAGUUCAAUUUUACGCAAAUUCAAGUUAAGAAAUCGCACAAGUUCCCACACUUCCGCAUUUAAAUAUUUUCUGAAGUUCCGCACGCAUCGUGUCCGUUUCACUCCAAGAAAAUUUCUGAAGCGCUUCAAACCCAAAAAGGAAUUCUCUCAAACACAUAAUCGGGUUAAAUUUGAUACUUUGCACAUUAAGCCCCAUUUAGCUGUGCUCUCUAAAGUCUCCCAGAAUCCAAGUGCAUUUGCGAAAAACAAUUAUAUUGUCUUACAGGGAAAACUUCAUCAGAUGCUGCAUGGCAAACACUUUUCGCCAAAACUGAGCGUUGUCAAGCUGAUGUACGCCAUAGUCGAUCGAUUUUGUGA